ACAGUACAAACUGAGCAGACAGUAAACCAUUGAGUUUCUAGAACCGAGUCACGGACGUGGCAGCAGAGUGUUUUCAGCAUCUGCGGGACAGU
rnacentral:ncRNA from 1 species